GCUACACUAUUGGAAUCACCGAAGCAGUAGCCGUACGGCCAGAUGCCCCGAUUCGCACCAUUCCUUUACCACUUUCUUGUUUUUCUUUGACGUCUCUACUCAUUCACUAUAUGCCUGUUUCUGAACCAGAUUGUAUGUCGUUCGCUACGUCUUUUCUUUCUUCUAGAAGGUUGCCAGUGUCGGAAUAUUGAUCUCAUGAUUCGGCGCUUCUACACCCCCGGCGCAGAACCGACAUGUACGUACGGAGC
rnacentral:lncRNA from 1 species